GGCCUAAUCGAGCUAAUCAGGGCAGUCCUUUGCUAAAUUAGUACUAAUUAAUGAAACGCUAAUUAAAAAAAGGGCUGACUGUAAUUCACAGCUGCUGCUCGUCAUGGACUCCUCUCUCAGCACUCAGGAGGCACUGGUGUCUCUGCCUUGCACCGAGGAGGUUAGAACAAAUCAAAGGCAUGGGCACAAACCACUGGGAUGCUCCAGCCACACUGCCUGAGCUGCACGGGGCCCUUCAGAAGGUGGCUUUUAGGUGGCUUGCUCUGCAAAGGCGAUAAAGUAAACAGAACUGGAGCUAGAGAGGAAUUUCUGGAGUGCUCAGCACUGGGCCUGGCCUGUGCCAGGAGCCCAGGCUGCCCUUAAUGAGCUGCUGCAGGCUGGACUGAAACAUUUUGAGAUCUUACAAGGAGUUAUUGGCUCUGGCUGAAGAUAAAACCCUGCAGCUGCCUGGACCAGAAUGCUUCUAUGUGAGGAUGGACACGGAUGCCACGUGCGGACCCUAUCGCCAUGCUCCCGACAGAAGAUCCCAGCUCUGCAUUGGCAGGAGCCCUCCCACUAAAGUGCUACAAUUGCAACUACUCUACUGAAGCUACAUUUGGCCUUUUAUCUGACCUCCUUUGAUCUUUUCCACAACCUCUGGCAGGUCUUCAGUGCAUUCAGUUCUUUAUAUUAGAGCAAUCAAUCCCACAUGCAACCAAUUAGGUUUAGACAUAGUUUGGUGACCAUAAUAUUGUACAGACAUUCUACCAAGUUUUCAACAAGAGAGGGUGGCUCCUACAUGUCACUUUCUAGUGGGGAGCACGCUGACUGCAGUUCAGAAAUAUCCCAAGGAGAAAAACAUAUUCCAGAAUUAUACUCUGAGCCCAAAUGUCCCACUUGUAGACAACAUUCUGGCUUUGUGUACAUACAAUAGCAACCCAAACACUGUUCCUCCUCAGUGCUCGCAGCACACAGGCCAAGAAUCUCACUAGACCUGUGUGACCAGGUUUGUCAUCCAAUAACUUCAUCACCUGCCAUUGUCAUUGCCUGUGACACGCACCAAAUAUGUUUUGCUUAUCAGAAGCAAAGGGGCAGCAGCACCCGGAAGGUCCAUUUGUUUUGUCUGGGCCCCCAGUGAGGGAUGGGAAUGCAGUCAGCAUGGGUGGGUACCUGCCUUCACUGCCUUUGCACUAAAUACAGUUUGGUCCUCUCUCCCUUGCUUGCUCUAUGGAUGCAUCACACUCUGGCCGAUGCUUAUUGUAUUAUCUGAAGCUGCUCCUUGGGAAAUUCUCAGUUAGAGACACAUCUUCUGUCUGUUCAUGGUGCGAAUCUCCUGCUGAUCUGCGCUACUGACCCAGACAAAGAUAAAUGGGGUCUCAUCCUGAUCCUUUCCAAAUGUGUAUUGCACGUUUGCUGUAAUGGACAUAAUACUUCACAGGAGUAACCAUAAAAGAUUGUUUGGCAUAGGCUCUUGGAAGCAGGCUGGAUACCUGGCCCAGAUAUGAGUUAAUGCAUGGGUUGUGGGGUUCCCUGACCAAAUGAAAGACAGCAAGAUGAGGAAAGAUACUGGAUAAUUGAGGUGGCAUGACAAACAUCACAGUUGUUAUUCACAGGAAUGUACUUGCAAUCUGGUUUCCCUGGGUAGGACAAGAGACUGCAGUCCCUGAGAUCAUCCCCAUCAAGAAGCACAUCCUUCUUAUGCUGUGAGUGCCCAGCACCUCGCAGCACCAAGCCUGUACUUACCAAUUAAAGCACAAAAAUAAAUCACAAAGAAAGACAGAAUGGAAUGAAAAUUCAGGAAGCAGUUCAUACUUGGAAACAAAUGAAAAAUGAAACUUGGUUCUGUUCAGAUAACCCUGAAACAGCACAGGUCUUCCAAAAUCCUGCACAGGCAUUGAAAGCACAUCACUAACAUCUCUUUUGAGCCUUGGAAUACAAACUAUUGACACUGCUGUUUGUCAAAGGAUCCUAGAAUCUGUUCACCAUGGACUUUGCUCCACUAGUGACUGAGGAGGAGCAUGGUUCCUCACGUGGGUCAUUUCCUUUCAAUGGAAGGAGCCAGUGUUGAUGCUGAUUAGUAGCUCGUUUGCUUGCUCCGCUGCCAGGGAGAAGAUUUCUUGUGUCAGGGGGCUUGGUGGCAGCACGAGCAACUUCACAUCAGUUGUCCCAGACCCGGAAAGGCCUCCUUAGAAAGUGUUUUCUCCUCUCCCUGCUCACACGUUGACAAGGAGAAAGAUGUCUGUGGGGACUCCCUAGUCCUCGCCAUAACAUAAGCACGUAAUAAGAAGCACUACAGACCAUGGUGCUGGUGCUAAACUAUUUGUAGAGUUUUUGCAUUACAGCUGCUGUAGAGCAAAACAUCUGGAUAACGUGGCAAUAGAAACUCUAAUGAAGUUCAGAUGGAAAAUUAUUUAAUGGAGUAGCUUUCCUUCAAAAAUGUCUUUCUGUCAGAAUCAAAAUGCUUUGUGAAACAUUACUUUUACCAAGAUUUUUGGUGGAAAAAAUUACAGCAAUUUUGAGGAAAAAAUAGAUUUUUGAUUUUAUAUAAUAUUUGCAUUUUUAAAUGUUAUAAUUAUUUAAAUAAGCCAAAACUAUUUAUUUUUGUGGAAUUUUCCUUUGUGGAGAAUUUCAACAUUUUGAGGUUUUGUUCUGAAUUGGAAUGAAAACAAAUUUCAAAAUCUCAAAAUCGUCUGUGAAACACAAUUUCCAUUCUCUGGCCAGCUCAAGUUUCAGGCUAGAACAUGUAUAAUAGGUCCCCUGCAGGGAACCCCCUUAGGGGAAAAAAAGUCUCUGAAUGAAUUUACUGGUGCAAACAUAUAGUUUUUAGGAUUUAUCUAUUUUUCCAAGUACACAAUGGCGCUCUGAAAACUUCUCCAAGUCACUACAGAAGAA